rnacentral:rRNA from 1 species
CUACGGGUCGCUCCAGUCGAGAAUCUUUCCCAAUGGACGAAAGUCUGAGGAUGCGACGCCGCGUGGGGGAUGACGGCCUUCGGGUUGUAAACUCCUUUUAUAAGGGAGGAAGGCUAAAAAGGUAAUAUCUCUUUAGAUUGACUGUACCUUAUGAAUAAGCCACGGCUAACUCCGUGCCAGCAGCCGCGGUAAUACGGAGGUGGCGAGCGUUGCUCGGUUUGACUGGGUGUAAAGGGUCCGCAGGCGGCCUUACAAGUGAAAGGUGAAAUCCUUCCGCUUAACGGGAGAAUUGCCUUUCAAACUGUUUGGCGUGAGGUUGGAAGAGGAGAGCGGAACUGCUGGUGUAAAGGUGAAAUUUGUGGAUAUCAGCAGGAACGCCCGUGGAGAAGUCGGCUCUCUGGUCCAAUCCUGACGCUCAGGGACGAAAGCUAGGGGAGCAAACAGGAUUAGAUACCCUAGUAGUC